rnacentral:lncRNA from 1 species
CCCCCUCAGCCUCCUGAGUAGCUGGGAGUACAGGUGUAUGUCACCACACCAUUGAAGUAUGAUUAUAUAAAAAUGCUUACUUGGUUUUUUACUGAACACAUUUAACAUGCCAAGUGAGUAUUAAACUUAUUUGAACUUGAUAUCAAAGUAAUUCCUAGAGCAUAUUAAGAGCAAAUUUAUUGUAUGCUAUUAUUAUACAUAGUAUCUCUUCAUUGACAAAAGACCAAUGUCUAGCUCAUGUGUUUUGGCAUAUUGGUGCUUGAAAAAUUUAUUUACAUGGAUUUUAAGUGUCCCCUAUAAUCUUGAUUAUAUAGUAAUUAUUUAUUUUCUAUUCUGUGUAUGUUAUUUUUGUUAAUUUGUAAAUUUGUGAAAUUAGGGGCUUGUCUUGCUACAUAUUUUAAUAAGAUGUAAUUUGCUUUUUAAUCAAUUCAAGAUUCUGGGUUAUCUAAAGGAACAUAUUGGGGGAAUUUGAUUCUGUGUGAAUUGUAUGACGAUGAUAACUGGUUCUGUGAACUUUUAUUGCUUUUACCAAUUUUGAAGCAAAGUUCUUUGGUGCUUUGUUUGGUUCAAGAUAUUAAAUGAGCUUUUUAAGCUUUUGUUCCUUUAAAGCUUUAAAAAUGAACAGCUCCCGA